rnacentral:rRNA from 1 species
GUCUAUGGCCAUGCCACCCUGAAUGCGCCCGAUCUUGUCUGAUCUCGGAAGCUAAGCAGGGUCGGGCCUGGUUAGUACUUGGAUGGGAGAAUGUAAGUGUCUUUACCU